rnacentral:rRNA from 1 species
CCUACGGGAGUCUGCAGUGGGGAAUAUUGGGCAAUGGGCGCAAGCCUGACCCAGCAACGCCGCGUGAAGGAAGAAGGCUCUCGGGUUGUAAACUUCUUUUAUCCGGGACGAAGCAAGUGACGGUACCUGAUGAAUAAGCCACGGCUAACUACGUGCCAGCAGCCGCGGUAAUACGUAGGUGGCAAGCGUUAUCCGGAUUUAAUGGGUGUAAAGGGCGUGUAGUCGGGUAAGAAAGUCAGAUGUGAAAACUAUGGGCUCAACCUGUGGCCUGCAUUGGAAACUGUGUUUCUUGAGUAUUUGUAGGGCAGACGGAAUUCCGAGUGUAGCGGUGAAAUGGGUAGAUAUGAGGAGGAACCCCAGUGGCGAGGGCGGUCUGCUGGACAGCAACUGAGGCUGAGGCGCGAAAGCGUGGGGAGCAAACAGGAUUAGAUCCCCAGUAGUC